rnacentral:lncRNA from 1 species
UGUUGUAGUUGUGUGUUGUUAUCCCCUAGUCCCGUUAUAAUCUGUUUCAACUCCUUAAGUUCGUUUGUGUCAUUCGUUCUUCCAUUCACUUGCUGUGUAUAUUCUAUCGAAAGUAGUUUUUGUUAUAUUUGUGAUGUUAGUAGAGCUAGGGUUUUAUCUGAGUCUGAUUUCAUCUUUUCAACCUGGUGUCGAAGAACAUUAUGCUCAUACAGCUGUUCAUUUUUCGCUUUGUAAAACUCGGCAAUUGUCAUAUAUUGUUUAUUCCCAGUAAGAUUAACGGCACUUUGUGUAUUGCUUUCAAAAAGGAAUUCAUCACUUAAACUAAGACACAGAUAGACAGAUAGCAG